CCCUUAGAUGUUCUGGGCCGCACGCGCGCUACACUGACUGCUCCAACAAGUUACCUGGGCUGACAAGCAUCCGGGAAAUCUUGCAAAGGCAGUCGUGAUGGGGAUAGAUUCUUGUAAUUUUUGAUCUUCAACGAGGAAUUCCUAGUAAACGCAAGUCAUCAGCUUGCAUUGAUUACGUCCCUGCCCUUUGUACACACCGCCCGUCGCAUCUACCGAUUGAAUGGAGAGGCAAAAUCUUCGGACCGUGACGCUUGGGAGUCAAAUCCCGGGCUGUCGUGGGAAGUGGAUUAAACCUUUCUAUUUAGAGGAAGGUAAAGUCGUAACA
rnacentral:rRNA from 1 species